rnacentral:rRNA from 1 species
GUCCACGCCGUAAACGAUGAGUGCUAGACGUUGCCGGUAUUGACCCUGGCAGUGUCGAAGCUAACGCGUUAAGCACUCCGCCUGGGGAGUACGGCCGCAAGGCUAAAACUCAAAGGAAUUGACGGGGGCCCGCACAAGCGGUGGAGCAUGUGGUUCAAUUCGAACGCAACGCGAAGAACCUUACCUAGGUUGGAACCCCUCAGAAGAUUGCUGAAAGGUGAUUGUGCCCUUCGGGGAACUGAGUGUCCAGGUGCUGCAUGGCUGUCGU